AACGAACGCUGGCGGCAUGCCUAACACAUGCAAGUCGAACGAGACCUUCGGGUCUAGUGGCGCAAGGGUGCGUAACGCGUGGGAACCUGCACUUAGGUUCGGAAUAACUCCCCGACAGGGGUGCUAAUACCGGAUAAUGUCUUCUGACCAAUGAUUUAUCGCCUUUGGAUGGGCCCGCGUUGGAUUAGCUAGUUGGUAGGGUAAAAGCAUACCAAGGCGACGAUCCAUAGCUGGUCUGCGAGGAUGAUCAGCCACACUGGGACUGAGACACGGCCCAGACUCCUACGGGAGGGAGCGGUGGGGAAUAUUGGACAAUGGGGGGAAGCCUGAUCCAGCAAUGCCGCGUGAGUGAUGAAGUCCUUAGGGUUGUAAAGCUCUUUUACCCGGGAUGAUAAUGACGGUACCGGGAGAAUAAGCUCCGGCUAACUCCGUG
rnacentral:rRNA from 1 species